CGCUCGCCUAGCAGAGAGAGCAACAGUUCAGCUUUACCUCCACUGGAGAUGUAGCGCUGCUCGUCUUGUGAACGUUAAAGUUGCAGCCAGAACAUCAAAACAAGCUAGCAGAUACACAGCCAGAGUUGUUUUUGGCUAAUGAGUUAGCAAAGUUGUGUACAUUCACGUCCUGCGGAUGCAGAGAAACAUUAGCAUUAAUUUGGAGUUCUGUUUCUGGCCACCUCAUGAAUAGAUUAUAGUUUGUGGGUCUCACCUGCCACUACCGUCAGAGUCAGCUGGUGUUUUUGAUCAUUGAACCAGCCCGGUAUCGCCACACGGCAGCCAUACAUCCCUGAGUCGCUCUCCUCAACUUGCCUGAUGGUCAGUGACACAUCACCCCCACCAAGAUUACCCAUGAACAGGGGGCCUGGUGUGACCUCAGUGACUCUAGGGCUGUGGCCAUAUCAUCAGAAACCUCUUGCUGCUUUCAAAGAUCCUGUCCAAUGUCAGAUGUCCAGGCUAACCAAACGAAAUAGAACCUCUUCCCACAGAAAAUGUCUCAUUAUUUUC